GGGGCCCUGUGUGAGGACCGGCAGCAGCCUGUUUCCCUCCUCACUGGUGAGCAGCAUCUGAGCCUAUGCACUGGUUUUCCCAGAGCCUUCCCUGAUAGAGACAGAUGGUGUCCAUUUAAAAGGACUGGCCUGCAGGAAGUGCUGGGAGGUGUGCUGGAACAGAGUGUGGGAGAGGGCACUCGGGCUCAAGAGGCGUUUCAUACCAGUGUAUUCUGAAUAUUCC